CCUUUCUUUCGAAUCACGUAGGCCUAAAAUAGUCAGAUAACACAAGGAACAACUGCAGUUAGGAAUUCCACAACAGAUUCCACAAAGCUGAGAGGUUCUUAUUCAAGUUCAUAACAGACUCAGCAUUUUCUUUUCAAAUCUUCGCAUUUCUGGGAAACUGCCUUUAUCCAGCUGCCGGUAAAAAUUCACAAGAGAGAGCUGCUGGUGUCGGCCGCGUAACUCAUCGUCGCACUGCAGCUCAAUUAGCUCCAUCUGCAGUUGAUGAGGGGCAUCAUCCGGGUCCUUGGAGUAAGGAGAGGAGAAUAGUAUGAGGUGCCCCUAGGGACAUUAUCCAGAAUUACCAUGUACUUUUCCUCUCACAUACACAUAUGAAACCAAACUCAUUCACAUACUAUACUGAAAAGCUCACACACAUACAGACUCUUCCGGACUGGACUGGAUGCGUUAAGUUGGCGCUUGUGUUUUGUGUGACGUUUUACACGGACUCUUCGGUUGUAGCUCUCAGUGCGGGGAGUGCAGCUGUAUGAGAGCACAAUUGCUACAGCCUGUACUGGGGGAUCGUCUGUCUGUCUGCUGACCUGGAAGCUGCUUCAUCAUUAAUAUCUGGCCGGAGCUGAGCCAUAUUGUGGGACCAAGACCAUCUUCAGGAUUCCAACCUGUUUAAGUUAUGAUGGUCUAAGAACUUUUAAUUUAGUAUCCAUCUUCAGAAAGUCUUAGAGAAUAAUUGUGAAUAUCACCAAAAUUGUGUGCCUUGGUCCUCCUGUCACUAGAAGUGAGAGUAAAAGUGUCCAAUUUUUCCAUUGACUCCCAUAGUAAAAUUGGAUAGGAAAAAGUCUCUGAAAAUACUCCUACAGUAUCUGUAAUCUAACUUAUAGAUAGGAGGGUGAUGAUUACCUUUUUCCUUGAAUAUAAAAAGACUUGACAACACAGCACUAACAGAAGUCAUGUACGUGUCCCAUACUGUGUCUGAGUAUUCUGAUGGAGUCCACCAUACACCUAAAUUCUCAUUAAGUCACAUUCAAAGGUAUUGAUUGUCUUGUGUAAUCAGAGUGCAGAGCAGCCUUCAUAGAUUCACUCAAAGGUGUUAAGAUAACGUGAGUUCUGCAUUUUAGAUGAAAUUCAGUCCCAGUGAUUGAUUUGUUGUGUUGUUGUCAAUUUUUUUGCAGGACAAUAACAACUGCUGUCACCACUGCCACUGCCCACCACCACCCUCCUCACCUGGCUUCCCCCACCACCUCGACCCUCACCUGUCUAACUUCACCAACAUUACUUCUCCAAUGCUGACAUGCCCACCCAGAACACCUACAGUGAGAAAUUGUUUUGUGAAGAUUCUUUUGUGUACUGCAAUUUGUCUUGACAUGAUAGCUGUCUUGGUUGAAUGUUCAGCCAAUUUUCGGGAGUUUUGAUUAGUUGUUACUUGUUAUUUAUUCUGAUGAUUUUUAUGGAGAAUGUCAUGUUUAGCAUGAGGGCAAGAUGGUUGAUGACCCAUAUGUUUUACUAGUUGGAUGGAAAAACAUCCGUUUCAGUAUUUUCUUAUCUUCAACCUGGCUUGUCUAGUCUCUGGCUAGUUAUAGGGAAAUAUUUUCAGAGAACCCCAUUUUAUACAUUGAUAACAGACUGCCUAUAACGUUGUUAGACUAUCAGUUUCAAAACAGAUCUCUUUAUAUAUGUGUGUUAUUAUGACUGUUUUGUUCUACUUGUGCAAUAAACAAUCUGCUUUUUGUGCAGUUAAGUC